GUCGAACGGUAACAUGAGGUAGCAAUACUUUGAUGACGAGUGGCGCACGGGUGCGUAACGCGUAUGCAACCUACCCUAAAUUGGAACAUAACGUUGAGAAAUUAACGCUAAUAUUCCAUGUGAUUAUUGAAGGGCAUCUUUUAAUAAUUAAAGAUUUAUUGAUUUAGGAUGGGCAUGCGUAUCAUUAGCUAGUAGGUUGGGUAACGGCUGACCUAGGCGACGAUGAUUAGGGGUUCUGAGAGGAUUUCCCCCCACACUGGAACUGAGACACGGUCCAGACUCCUACGGGAGGCAGCAGUAGGGAAUAUUGGGCAAUGGAGGCAACUCUGACCCAGCCAUGCCGCGUGCAGGAAGACGGUCCUAUGGAUUGUAAACUGCUUUUAUUGCAGAGUAAACUGGAGGACGUGUCCUCCACUGCAAGUAUGCGAUGAAUAAGUAUCGGCUAACUCCGUGCCAGCAGCCGCGGUAAUACGGAGGAUACAAGCGUUAUCCGGAUUUAUUGGGUUUAAAGGGUGCGCAGGCGGAUCGAUAAGUCAGGGGUGAAAUUUUAAGGCUUAACCUUAACACUGCCCUUGAUACUGUCGGACUAGAGUGUAAUUGACGUUGCUGGAAUGAGAUGUGUAGCGGUGGAAUGCUUANAUAUGUCUCAGAACGNCGAUCGUGAAGACAG
rnacentral:rRNA from 1 species